UCUUGCGGCUGAGCCACCUCGCGCCGUCAAGCGUGAUUGCGUUUUCGCCACAUGGAGGGCGGGGAGGAGCGUUUUACGACAGCUUGGGAAGGCAAUAUACGGCAGUAGGAGGGGCGAGAAAGAAGGCGAAAAAGAAUGGGAGCAAGAGCACUUUCAAAAUGGAGCUAUAAGCUACCUUGGCUAAUAUGUAUACCCAGAGGGAGAGGCAGAAGCCCAGCAUUGGAAAAAGACCUCAUCCUGAGGCUAUCCAGGUGUCUUCAACCUCCAGUCAUCUCUUCAGCAUACAAAAAGACACUUAUUACUUAAGAGAUUCCAUAGAUUUUGUGCCUUAUAUGCUGGGUGUGGGGGGGACCCACAGAGGCCAAAUGGAUAUUUCUCAUUAAGUCACAAAUAGUUUUACUAUGUCCUUUCCAAUGUC